AACGCAACACACUCCGGAAAUAAUAUAGUUAAUGCGGUGUUUGUUUCUUUCAGAUACUUUAUAAAUUAGCGCUACACUCGCUUGGCUCAGUUCGGGGAGGGACUUCGUCGCAAGCCGAGACUUUAAUUCGAGUGUUUUAAGUUUCAAAAUAUUUGUGUUGAUAACGUUUCUGUUAUCUUAAAGGAGAGUGUGUGAGCGGCGGACGAGAUUGAUACGGUUAUCAAAACAUUAAAUAAAAUAUAAAUAAUAAAAGAACACAACAUUUUUGUAAGAUAUGAUAAAAAGAAACAGUGCAUUUUACAUGAGUGACGAAUGGAACUGCGUUAAGGAAACAGGGGUCCAGUCGCGUGGUGCGGUGAGUCAAGCCGGUGAAUCAUGCGCGGUUGACGACACUCUCCGACCUCGGGCCGCGCCGCGCUUGCUGCGUGUCAGACGACGCUCCACAACCAGCUCGCCAACUGUUCCUGCUGCUGCGAGAGUUACGCUGCUGGACACCUGGAGAAAUAUAAAUCUACAAAUGACCUACAUCCAACAAAAUAUGAAUUGUUCAGAACAUCAGAGGUCCGCUCAUAGAGUUUGCGAACGAGCCACGAAGCGCAGUGCGUUUAAGUUAAAUUGUUUGACAGGGUAUCGAACAACUACUUACUCUACAAUGAGCUCUUUAAACUAAAAUAGUGGGUUGGGCUGGACAUGUACGCUUGCCUAAUAACUUAUGGAACAAAAUAUCAUCCAAUGGAUUCCAUCCAUCGACAAAGCGGCUACAAUGCCGACCCAGACAUGCACCUGGAAGUAAUAUAGGUACAUAACACGGCCGGGUCGCUACAUCGCGUUCUAAAUGUAUUUAGUAUAACUUAACAAAUACCAGUAAAAAACCAUUGGAGAUAAAUAAUAUGUAAUAAGUCUGUUUCUCUCAUAGUAAACAACCACCAAGUAAUCAGGCUGUGAGUAACAAGGUUCGGUAGUUGUGGAGGGGAUAUUGUGUUGCCUUAACGACUUCUUCGUUAGGUCCCAUUAUCGAGCCGCGGCGUCGUCUACUGUUUGAAGUGACUUGCGAUGAUUUUCUGAUAUUCUGCCAAUGAUUGCCCAAUUACAGCCGCGUUGCCAGGCGGCCCCCGCGGCGGCGACCUCGCCAUACUACCCGGCUAACAUUUUCUAAGAAAUUUACAUGUCGUACUCUAAUUAACAUAGAUAAACAUGUUAUACAAAUCAUAAUAAACUCAUCUCUCUUGUCAUAAUCAUUAUUUGCUUGUCUGGUGUGUACACUGUCUAAUCAAGACCAAUCAAGCUUGUUCAAUCGAGACAUACGGACUACAGUUUAACCCGUUGAUACCGUGGACUCCGGUGACCUACUCGUAGGCCGAUUAUGAUUAGUCUGUUCAGAUCAUGAUAGUGCAGCAUCGUCAUAUGGUCGAUUAUUUAAUGAGCUGUCCAAUAUAAAUUUAGGUGGAUAGAAGAGAGGGACCUAUUGAUGGAUAAGGUUGCUAAAGUCACGACGUGCUCGUGGUACUAUUCAUUAAUUGAUGAUUACGAUAUCUAGAAGAAUGUCAUAAAUAUAGGUCUUGUUUCUUUUAAUUGUAAGGAUAUUUAUAAACUUACCGUUACCUUAAUACUUACCGGUAUAUUAAACGUAGGGAAACUGACAAGCAAGUUAGUUGCAAGCCAACGAAGCCUACACAAACCCUGUAGAACUAGAUUUUUUUUUUCUGUCUUGCUUUCUCAUUUAAUUUUCUUCUACCUAUAAUCUGCGUAUUUAGAUGUAGGUAGAAGUCUUUGAUUAAAGGUUAAUAUUUUCAGACGACAAGAUAUUCUUUUUAUUAAACUGUUUCGCCCGAUAGAGCAAGUAUAAUUUUCCAUGAAUUUAUAAAUAAAAUUGCUUCGUUGUAUAAGUCCCGAAAAUGAAUUGAAAUUUGUUUACAUUACAGUAUAGGUAUAAUAGGUAGUUAACAAGUGUAACAUAUGAGCGAAUGGGAAAGUUUGUUUGACGCACACGACGAAAAUACAUUGCGAGUAUGACAGUCGUAACGAAGUAUAAAACGAGCACAAGCCCCCGCUCGGUAGCACUUGACAAGGUAUCUCGGUUAGCGCAGACGCCUGUACGAGCUACAGUUUUCCGCAUUCGGUAUGUCGAUAGUAAGGUGUCUCGCGAUAUUGGCCCUGUUGGCGGGUCGCAACGCGCGGGGCAAGCCCAGCGGGCUGGCGCUGUCCGUGGCGCAGGAGCGCACCGUGUGCCGCACGGAGGUGGACUACGACGAGGACCCGCAGCGCAUCCCGCGCGUCAUCAAGCUGCUGCGCUGCGGCGCGGGGCCCGGCGCGGGGCCCUGCUGCGGGGGCGCCGGGGCCCCGCUGCGCCUGGCCUGCGCGCAGCUCACGGACCAGGUGCUGGUCAGCGACCGCAACAACCGCACCUACACGCUGCACGUGCCCGUGGGCUGCGCCUGCGUGCGACACACCUCCAACAGCGCGCUCGAGCUCAACUGACCGUCCGAUGUUCCUCACACCAUAUUAAUAUUUACUUAUUUGUAAACUGACUAUGGCUAACAGGUGCUUGAUUUUAAAUUGUUGGUAGUCUGAUCUCAGUUUGUCUGUCUUCCUCUCUCGUAGGUAUAUAAUUUCCUGUCGGACCAGCGGGAUUGUUCGAAAAGGAUUUUGGAACCCCGGUAGUUGCAAAAAGAGAAAAAAAAGAAUAUCGAAAUGAUUUAGCUUGAGCGAAUUAACUUGGUAGGUAGGUGCCUAAGAUAGCUAUUGCAGUAAUUAAGAAGAUUUUUAGAGGUGAAUGAUACUCGUAAUAAUAUCUGUUAAUUAGCACCAUAUACAUAAUACCAAAGAAUAAAUUGCAGACUGAUAAUGUUAUGAAUAAUUUAUUUUCACCAAUGUGUGUAGAACAAAUAACAAUGUAUAUUUAAUAAAUAUCUGAUUAAAUACAAUUUGAUGUACCUACGUAUGUUUUGUACUACGUAGCUAUAUUUACAACUAUUUUGGAUAACAUAAUAAAUAAUGCGAACUUAAAACAUUACUUACAAUAUAUUUUCUAGUUUAAAUAAUCUCUGCAGCGACUUGCAGCUGUAAAAACAGAGUAGCGUGCGAGGGCGUGUCCGGGGGCGGGCGGGGGCGGGGCCUGCGCCCGCGCCGCCUACGCCGCGCUUCACGCUGCUUCUGAUACUGUUUCAGAACGCUACGUACUUCACAGCUAGAUCAUUUUGCUUCACUUCUUUGUUACCAUAAAAUAUUUUGAUUUUAAUGUAACUAACAUUCAGUGCUUCUAGGAGGAUACCUACAAAAUCGCUGACUAUGAUAUAUUAUGCAAGAUUAGCCGUUUUUCUGUAACUUUUCAGUGGACUUAUUACAUACUAUAAGCGGUUUUAAAUGAAAAGAUUUGACAAAGAUUAGCAUCUUAGUCAGCUUCUUGACUGCGGGAGCUAUAGUGGUCUAAAAUGCCGACUUAACUAGAAUAUUAUUUAGUGAACUAAAAUUGCUUGUUUGCUCUAAAAACUGCUGGUUUGAAGAAGUUUUGUAAACCCCAAUAAAAUUUAAAUUGAACACAUACGUAAAUACAGCUAAUUUGCGUGUUUUUAGCUUUUUUCCAUGAGCAGUGAGCACUCCAAACAUCAGACCCGUUACCACACAGAUCAAACACGAGCAGGUAUUCAUAAAAGGAAACAAUGAGUUUAAUAAGAGACGGAAUAAAGAAAAGAAAACUCAUUAUUCAAUGAUGUAACGGUUUUGCUCA